GAGAAGUAAUUUAUUCUGAUCUGUCAGUCGAGUUAUCUCUACCAUCGAAUAUUCUUUUGGCCUGUAAUGCUGGCUGUGGGAAAAAGUAUUUCAGUGAUUAAUCUGCUUAUGUUGCAAGGCUUCUGCUAAAGCUGUUUGUAAGUAAUGAGCAUCUUUGUGUUGGACUAAGCAUCAAAAUGAUACAGUUGCUUAAAUGUUUGAAGGAAGGUUAGGUCUGGAGUGCAAAAUGAGGCUGGUAAUUUUAAAUCAGAACAUGAGCAAGCUGUAAGAUUUUUAAUUUCUCCUGUAUGUUUUUCUAUACCAGAAUGUGUGCUUCCUUUUAAAUAUAUGUAUGUUCUCUUCUUCCUAGGAACUUUGUUGACAACUCAUUCCCCAACUCCAGUAGCCCCUCAUCCAGUUACUAUGCCCACAUAUCGGGCUCCAGGAACACCAACCUAUAGUUAUGUGCCCCCACAGUGGUGAUCAUCCUGGCAGUCAGUGUUUGAAGAUGGGAGAUAUGCAAUCAAGAAAUUGAGGUUUAAAAGUUGGUGCUGAAGCCCUCAUGCCUCCAACCAGGACUCUUCUUCUGAAUGCUUUCAACACUUGGCUAAACACUACUAAUUCCUGAUCACUGAAGAUUUUCCAGUGCUGCAUAUCUUACAUCUUGGAACUCCAGCAGUUAGUCUUAAAGCAAAUCCUGUUUUGUGGACUGUCUUGCAAUUUUUUAGCUAAUUAUAAUGAUAAAAAGGGAGUAUAAAUUUAUUCUGAUCCAUAUCUAGUUGAAUGCAUGUUAAAACACAAAAACAAAGCUUGCUCAAUCUACCUGCAGUGACUGAUGCAAAAACCAUCAUAUGCAAAUCCAAAGGAACCGAGAAGUAUUUUACAACUUGUAUCACUAAUGCACUGUUGUAAUGUAUGCAGGGUCUUAAAAGGUAGAAUCAUGAAAGUGAGUUUCUUUGUAGACUACCGUAAGAUACAUUAGAUAAGAGCUUCAACCUUUUUUGGGUUGAUGGGAUUGCCAGUUUAAAAGGGGCACUUUUUUUUGUUAAUUUAAGUGAUGUAUUCUUUUCAAAUUCAAAUACUAAAUUGGAGUGACUGGAAAAUGAGGCAGGAAAGCUGUAGGAAUCCCGCACGCCAUUAGUUUACUUCAUACCUUUACGUUUUUGUUACAUGGAUUCAGUGUUAUAGAGCUGUUCUCAAGGAUCAGAAUGAAAUGACGAAGGCAAUGCUGUGUGUGCGAGUAAAUAAAGCAAGCUUCCUUGAGGCAAAACUUGCCGUUAGGAAUAGUAGGAGGCGACCUGUGUAAUGAAUUGCAUGCCCUGGGGAGAUACAUAUCCAGUACUACCUUUCAUACGGUGCAAGAUGGUGUCACAGUGAGACUGCCACACAGACUGAUAGAAUAACACUUCCCUUUAGAUCUCUGUUCAAGAGAUCACGUUGUUUUUCCUAAAGGAUGUUGUAGUCAGUUGCAGACUUAGGUGCAGUUGACCCAGCGUGCUUUCCUGAUGUUUAACAAGUAUUAGGGCUUUCUGUGACAGAUGGGGAGAUCAGCUGUGUGCUAUCCUGAGGAAAGCUGGUGUGCCUGAUGAGUAUAUUAAAGGGGAACAAAUCAUUUUAACACAAUUUCCUUCUUAGCUACUUGCAGUAUGGACUACAGAUAUGCUGUAGUAGGGCUGCCAGAAUACAGAAGUUUCAGAUAGUUCGGUUGUUUCAUUUUUUCCUGAAAAUAUUUGUAAUGGAAGUGGGAGCCAUUCGGUGGUUACAGCGUUUUGAUGUAUUUUUGUAGCAUUUUCCUUUUUUUUUUUAACUUCCUAAAUUGCACUUGGAAGCACGUACAAAUAAGACUGACUGCAGAUUAGCAUUUCGUUGCAAUGAGUCAUUUCUGGUAUUCUUUCUUGCAACUUCAAUUUUUAAAACAGUACCUCAAAGCAAAUGCAGUGGUGAUAAAGGGCUAGCCUUAGAACCCAUUUCUAUACCAAAAUUCUCACCAGGAAGAUUUUAAAUUUUCAAAGUAAAAUGUUGCACAUGAAAUCAAGGUUUUUCUUAGACCUGCUUACUUACAAUUUCAGAAAAAUGCAAUUUUUUUUUAAUAUACAUUCUGCCUGCAAUAAAUUAUGCAGUAAAUGCUAAUAAAAUGUUGUUCCCUUUUAAGCGUU